rnacentral:rRNA from 1 species
GGUUCUUUGAAAAUAAAAUAAAGAAUCUUACCUGCCCAGUGAUGGAAAUUUAACGGCCGCGGUAAUUUAACUGUGCGAAGGUAGCAUAAUCAAUUGUCUAUUAAUUAUAGACUGGAAUGAAUGGUAGAACUUAAGAUUAGUUGUCUUAUAUUUAGAUUAAAAUUUACAUUUUCUUGAGGAGAAGAAAAUGAAUUAGGGGGACGAGAAGACCCUAUUGAGCUUUAUAUUUUUAUUAUAUAUAUAGGUAGAGAGAAUAAUAAAAGGAGAUAUUUUGCUGGGGCGGUGGAUAUAUAUUAUAAAACAAUUUUAAAGUUUAAUAUUUAUAGAUGAAUAAAGAUCCAAUAAUAAAUUGAGUAUAAGACUAAGUUACUGUAGGGAUAACAGCGUAAUAUUUAUCUUGAAGCACAAAUUUAUGAUAAGGAUUGCGACCUCGAUGUUGGUUUAGGAAACUUAUUUGGUGAAAAUGUUAAAUUAAGUAGUCUGUUCGACUAUUAAAUUCCUAUA